UACGUAGGGGGCUAGCGUUGUCCGGAUUUAUUGGGCGUAAAGCGCGUGUAGGCGGCCAGGUAGGUCCGUUGUGAAAGCUCGAGGCUCAACCUCGAGACGCCGGCGGAAACCAUCUGGCUAGAGUCCGGAAGAGGAGAGUGGAAUUCCCGGUGUAGCGGUGAAAUGCGCAGAUAUCGGGAAGAACACCCGUGGCGAAGGCGGCUCUCUGGGACGGUACUGACGCUGAGACGCGAAAGCGUGGGGAGCGAACAGG
rnacentral:rRNA from 1 species